CGUAGGUGAUCUGUCCUUGGAGUGGGGGAUAGCCCAUGGAAACAUGGGGUAAUACCGCAUGAGGUCUUGGAACUAUGGUUCCUAGAUGAAAGGAGCAAAUGUUCCGCUUUGGGAUGAGCCUGCGGUCCAUUAGCUAGUUGGUAGGGUAAAGGCCUACCAAGGCUACGAUGGAUAGCCGGCCUGAGAGGGUGAACGGUCACACUGGGACUGAGACACGGCCCAGACUCCUACGGGAGGCAGCAGCUAAGAAUCUUCCGCAAUGGGGGAAACCCUGACGGAGCGACGCCGCGUGGACGAUGAAGGCCUAGAGGUUGUAAAGUCCUUUUGCAGACGAAGAAUAAGGCAAGGAGUGGAACGCCUUGCUGAUGACGUUAGUCUUGCGAAUAAGCCCCGGCCAAUUACGUGCCAGCAGCCGCGGUAACACGUAUGGGGCGAGCGUUGUUCGGAAUUAUUGGGCGUAAAGGGCGCGUAGGCGGUGCUAUAAGCUUGGUGUGAAAUCCCCCGGCCUAACUGGGGAAUAGCGCUGAGAACUGUAGUGCUUGAGUUCUGGAGAGGAAGCUGGAAUUCCUGGUGUAGGGGUGAAAUCUGUAGAUAUCAGGAAGAACACCGGUGGCGAAGGCGGGCUUCUGGCCAGAAACUGACGCUGAGGCGCGAAAGCGUGGUGAGCGAACAGGAUUAGAUACCCUGGUAGUCCACGCUGUAAACGAUGUGCACUGGGUGUCGGGGCUUUAAUGGGUCUCCGUGCCGUAGUUAACGCGAUAAGUGCACCGCCUGGGGAGUAUGCUCGCAAGGGUGAAACUCAAAGGAAUUGACGGGGGCCCGCACAAGCGGUGGAGCAUGUGGUUUAAUUCGACGAUACGCGAGGAACCUUACCAGGGCUUGACAUGUACCUGACGGUCUGUGAGAGUAGGCUUUUCUCUUCUGGGACGGGUACACAGGUGCUGCAUGGUUGUCGUCAGCUUGUGUCGUGAGAUGUUGGGUUAAGUCCCGCAACGAGCGCAACCCCUACUGUCUGUUGCCAGCAUUAAGUUGGGGACUCGGACGGAACUGCCGGUGACAAACCGGAGGAAGGUGGGGAUGACGUCAAAUCAUCAUGGCCCUUAUGUCCUGGGCUACACACGUGCUACAAUGGCAGGUACAGCGCGCAGGAGCGAAACGGUGACGUGGAGCCAAUCGCUAAAAGCCUGCCUCAGUUCGGAUUGGAGUCUGAAACUCGACUCCAUGAAGGUGGAAUCGCUAGUAAUCGCGCAUCAGCAUGGCGCGGUGAAUACGUUCCCGGGCCUUGUACACACCGCCCGUCACACCACCCGAGUUGGGGGUACCCGAAGUCGCUUGUCUAACCCAUUUAUGGGACGACGGCGCCGAAGGUAUGCCUGGUAAGGGGGGUGAAGUCGGAACAAGGUA
rnacentral:rRNA from 1 species